CUACGGGAGGCACCAGUAGGGAAUAUUGCGCAAUGGGCGAAAGCCUGACGCAGCCAUGCCGCGUGAGUGAUGAAGGCCUUCGGGUCGUAAAGCUCUUUUCUGAGGGAAGAAACGUUCGGGGAGGUAAUGCCCUGAACCUGACGGUACCUUAGGAAUAAGGGACGGCUAACUCCGUGCCAGCAGCCGCGGUAAUACGGAGGUCCCAAGCGUUGUUCGGAUUUACUGGGCGUAAAGGGAGCGCAGGCGGAUCGGUAAGUGGAAAGUGGAAUUCCGGGGCUCAACCUCGGAAGUGCUUUCCAAACUGUCGGUCUUGAGUACGUGAGAGGAAGGCGGAAUUCAGGGUGUAGCGGUGAAAUGCUUAGAUAUCCUGAGGAACACCAAUGGCGAAAGCAGCCUUCUGGCACGAAACUGACGCCGAGGCUCGAAAGCGUGGGGAGCGAACAGGAUUAGAUACCCGAGUAGUC
rnacentral:rRNA from 1 species